rnacentral:lncRNA from 1 species
GCUAUGGGGCAGCUAUGGGGCAGCUAUGGGGCAGCCAUGGGGCAGCUAUGGGGCAGCUAUGGGGCAGCCAUGGGGCAGCUAUGGGGCAGCUAUGGGGCAGCUAUGGGGCAGCUAUGGGGCAGCCCCAUUGUCCUCCCCCCAGCACAGCCGCAAUGUCUCUGGGCUGCGGGAGGCGCUGCAGAAGAAGAUCGGCCUCUUAGAGCUGCAGCUCCAUCACCACGGCAACGGCAGCCGUUCCCAUGGCAACACAGAGCCCCAUGGCAACCAGCUGGGAGCCCAUCUCCAUGGCAACCAGCAUCACGGUCUCCAUGGCAACCAGCAUCACGGUCUCCAUGGCAACCAGCAUCAUGGCGGUCACCAUGGCGACCACAGCAAGAGCGGGGACCAUGGUAACCAACAGCAGCAUCAUCUCCAUGGCAACCAGCAUCAUGGCGACCUCCAUGGCAACCAUUACCAUGGCAACCAGCAUCAUGAUCUCCAUGGCAACCAUCACCAUGGCAACCAGCAUCACCAUGGCGACCAUCAGAGCCGGCUGAGCAGCAUCCUCCAUGAGCAUCUCCAUGGCAACCAGCAUCAUGGCGAUCUCCAUGGCAACCAUCAUGGUGGUCACCAUGGCGACCCCCAUCAUCAUCAUCAUGGUUUCCAUGGCAACCAUCACGGUCACCAUGGCGACCAUAGCGAGAAACAUGGCGACCACGGUCACCAUGGCGACCAACAGAAGGGGGGGGGGCAGCACGGGGGUCUCCAUGGCAACCAUCACCAUGGCAACCGUGAGGAGAAACAUGGCGACCGUCACCAUGGCGACCAUCUCCAUGGCAACCAUCACCAUGGCAACCACGAGGACAAACAUGGCGACCAUAAAGCUGGUAUCCAUCACCACGAUGGUCUCCAUGGCAACCAUCACCAUGGCAACCAUCACCAUGGCAACCACGAGGACAAACAUGGCGACCAUCAUCACCAUGGCAACCGUCACCAUGGAGACGGACUGUGGGACCGAAGCGGUCGCCAUGGAGACGAGGAGGAGGAAGCUGCCCCCCACGGGCCGUUCCUUUUGGGGGGGGGGGGCGACUUUGGUAUCUCCUGAUAGGGACCCACCCAGGAUGCCCCUCCCCCACAAACCCCCCAAUGUUCAAGUACGCCCCCU